rnacentral:ncRNA from 1 species
CUGGUUGAUCCUGCCAGUAGUCAUAUGCUUGCCCCAGAGACUAAACCAUGCAUGUCGGCCUUGUGUCGUCGACGGAUCUUUUAAGUGUCUGCCCUAUAAGUUUGUUUCGCAGGUAAUCUACCUACCGUGAUAAUAACGGGUUACGGUAAACCAGGGUUCGAUUCCGGAGAGGGAGCCUGAUAAAUGGCUACCACAUCCAAGGACGGCAGCAGGCGGGAAAAUUCACUGUCAAUAAUGAAUGAUAGAACAAAUGCAGAAACGACACUUCGAAAAGGGCAUGACAUGAGAAUAUCAACAGAAGUAUUGCAUAUUCU